AUACAACUUAAACAUCACUGCCCAAACGUGCAAUUCCACUUCCUUUAAACCUUUGACACAGCACGGAUUUAAAAAAUAUUUUUACUUCAACGUUCUGAUUAUUUGCUCUCAGGUAUAAACCCUUUUUAUUUUUUCGUACAUGACUUCAGAAGAGGGAUUUUGUGAACUCUUAAGUCAUCCUGAGUUAUUAUAGAAUCUACAAACCGGGUCUUCCCAACUCUGCAAGCCUUUAAGAACAGAAUUUUCCAGCAAGAAACAUAUUACUUCAAGAGGAGACAGUGAGACCAUACAGUCCUUAAGAGAACUCAUAAAAUGUCAAGUGCUGUGGAAACAGAACAGAAGCCCAUGUUUCAGCCAGGAUUGCAAUGGCCUCCUCCCAUGGGAAUAGCAGCUGCAUAAAUAGGAGGGAAGCCCUCAGUGGAAUUGCUUCCAACACCUUUCUAAUGGAAAUAAUGAUUUGCAAAGUCCAGUUUAUGCCUUUGCCACGUAAUUAGUAGCCAAGAUUAAAAACAUUGUUCCAACUCCCAGCAUCGUUGAAAUCUGGCAAAACCUUAAAUAUUCCGCUGUGUUCCAAGAAGGUAGCCCAUAAGUGAUCAUUGUAAGGACAGUCUUAGCCAGUUCAGUCAAGCCCUUGAAUCAAUCAACACUUAUUAUAUGGAAAUUAACCAGUUUGAUGUCAAUUAGUGGAAAUUUGUUAGCAGACAUAACCUAUGAGAUGUUUUAUUUUGAAUUCCUUGCUCUCCCCACUGAAGCUAGCUAAGAUAGGGAUAAGGACCCAGCCACACAUUUCUGAAGGCCUAGAGUAGAAUUAAUUAAAAAAGAAGUGGAGUGAAGCUGUAGUCAAAUACACAAAAACUCUACUGUCUACAGGGCACAAGAAGAACAAGGAACUGGAUAUCAGAUUUUUUUCUUGGAAGGAAUCAAUUUCUAGUCACAGAUUUUGGUGCAUAACAGUCUAUUCUGUAUGUGUCAAUACUGAGUAUAUGGAGAUAAAAAAAAGUGUAUAUAGUCUGAUGGCAAUUUGUACCCUCAUUUUGUGCUACUUUAAAGGUCCUUUUCUACCAUGUUCUUAUGCGUUAUAUCCUCGUAUUAAGAAAGUAAUAGUUUUUAAAUUAAAAAUGUCUGACUUGAUCAUUAAUUUUCCUCCUAAAAAUAACCUAAAAUAACCUUAAAAAAAAAAAAAGAAAAGUCUGGCUACUCAAGCCAGAGAGGGUGAUGAAAGAUUUCCUCAGCUCUUAAGAACAUUACCUGUCUGGCAUAUGAGGUGGAUUUGACUUUACUGUAAAUUCUAACUUUUGUUUAAAAUUAAUAAAGUACCCUCAUGUACCCUUCUACCUGUGUAUAUCAGCAUUCAGUAUGACAACCUGGUGCUCUACAAUUCAAAUUAAAUAUUAGGACUGUGGGUUCAAUCUCAAAGUUUUACAGCAAUCCUAAAACACUCACAGCUAAGAAGGAAACACAGGAUCAGAGUCUUGCUAUAAUAUGGAAAACUCCUGGCAGUCUUGAAGCCAGGGUU
ensembl:lncRNA